ACAGUACAAACUGAGCAGGCAAUAUCCCUGGGAUAUGUAGCCGGGCCGUGCAAACGGCAGCAGAAGAAGCAUAAGCGCAUCUGCGGGACAGU
rnacentral:ncRNA from 1 species